UUUUUCUAGAGUGAUUCUCGCACAGAUAUGCGAUAGUUCNAAAAGGAGCUCAUGACACAGGUGCUGCAUGGCUGUCGUCAGCUCGUGUCGUGAGAUGUUGGGUUAAGUCCCGUAACGAGCGCAACCCUAGUUCUUAUUUACCAGCGGGUAAUGCCGGGGACUAUAAGGAGGCUGCCAGUGAUAAGCUGGAGGAAGGUUAGGACGACGUCAAGUCAUCAUGGCCCUUACGAGUAGGGCUACACACGUGCUACAAUGGGCGUUACAAUUGGAGGCGAAGCCGCGAGGUGGAGCAAAUCUAUUAAAGGCGCUCGUAGUCCGGAUUGAAGUCUGCAACUUGACUUCAUGAAGCUGGAAUCGCUAGUAAUCGUGAAUCAGAAUGUCACGGUGAAUACGUUCUCGGGCCUUGUACACACCGCCCGUCAAGUCAUGGGAGUGGAUUGUACCAGAAGUGGUUAGACUAACCGAGAGGAGGUCGAUUACUACGGUGUGAUUCAUGACUGGGACUAAGUCGUAACAAGGUAGCCGUA
rnacentral:rRNA from 1 species